UACGAAGGGUGCAAGCGUUGUUCGGAUUUAUUGGGCGUAAAGCGCGCGCAGGCGGAAUGGCAAGUCAGAUGUGAAAUCUCGGGGCUCAACCCCGAACGUGCGUCUGAAACUGCUUUUCUAGAAUCUCGGAGGGGGUAGGGGAAUUUCUCAUGUAGGGGUAAAAUCCGUAGAGAUGAGAAGGAACACCGGAGGCGAAGGCGCCUACCUGGACGAGUAUUGACGCUGAGGCGCGAAAGCGUGGGGAGCAAACAGG
rnacentral:rRNA from 1 species